CACAGGAAACACAAUACUGCAACAUCUGCAACUGCUCUGCCCUGCUGGGAUUGAACUCUAAUCUUCUAUAUAAUGGAGAUGAAUAUCCCUUAAAGAUGCAAAUGUAGGACAGAAAACAGUUUUCAAGUACAAUGAUGGGAAACAGAUCAGAACUUGGAGCCUAAACAAGAUCUCACAGCCUCUACAACAAAUCUCUGCAUCUGAAAGUGAAGAGGGAAUUAAUUCUGUGUGAAACUGCUAUGUGGUCCUUAAAGGACAUUCUCUGUUUUAUGGAUUGAUCCUGCUGCUGGGCAACUCGAAGAAAAAAAUUCAG